GCGGAAACAUAGCAUAAAUCGACUCCAUCAAGUUUGCAUAUAUGAGACAAAGCUAAGAUACUACUAACCAUUUACUAAAUUAGGUACGGAAAGAUUAGCAAUAAACUAGGCAUAAUUAGUAAAAAAAAACUAAACAAGAUGUCAAAGAUUAAUUAGCAACGUGCAAGAAUUUAAUCAGUAACCCACUAACAUGAUUAGUAAGUGACAGUUCUAAUUAAGAAGCUAAACAAAAGAACAGAGACUAACGAGCCAAGUUCCAAGAAUUAACCGUUCGCUACUUUCCUGUCAGCUAGCUAGCUUGCAACCUGCACCAGGCCCGAUGGCCUCCCUCGCUUUGCUCCUGUUGGGUCGGUUGGCCUGCCGCAGCUAGCUGGGCCUCUAGUGCUGCUGCCUGGGCUGUCAGGCUUGUCUGGCCCGCGAGGCAAGCAGCUGUCCUCCCACUCGGCCUGCUAUUCCCGAAGCAUGUGGCCUGCUGCCCAAACAGGCCUAGCCCGUGCACUGCUCCCCUCCUGGACCAUGUGCGUAGCUGGGCUGCGAGCUGGACUGCUCCCUGCAGCUGAUGCUAGCUUCGGUCUGGCUCGCGUGCACGUCCCGUGCCUCCUCCACGCAACGACCUGCGAACGAACAGAGCAAGAACACCAAGAACAACCAGAGAACAGGGAAGAACACGUUCAACUUCAAAUCCGAAAUCCUCCGUCAAAUCUCCAUGAAUCGCAACGAAACUUGAGACAAGGAUGCGAUACCCCUAAGGCAAAUAGAUCCAUGAAACAAAUCCUGAAAAACUCAAGUAUACAUCACUAAUCUUGGAGAAAACUGAAACCCUAACUCAAGAACACGAUUCGAAAGAAAUUCGAAAUCCAAGCCGGAUCCGUGAGAGAUUUAGAAGGGGAACGAAUCAAAGAUGCUCCCUAAGGUCCUAGCAUCAUUUCCUUUCAACCAAGUUCACGAGAUUCAGCUCAAACACGAAGAACGAAAAUUCCCUAAAAAUAGCUUCGAAAAUAGGGAAAAAGAAAAACGCUCGGGAAUCAAAGAUUUAGCACGAUUCGAGACAACAAACAAAGCUAAAUCAUGAGAACAUCUUCUAUACAAGAUGAGGACUAGCCUCCUCCCUUCAUCCACCCACUAAAGAUGAAGAAAUCGAGAAAAAAGAGUAAUCACUCCCUAAUCCCCCUCUCUCCUCUCACUUUAAGCACAUGACUAGCCUCUAAGCAUAUGGAUAAUGAGUUGCUAAGCCAAGAGGU
rnacentral:lncRNA from 1 species